rnacentral:rRNA from 1 species
AUGCAAGUCGAGCGGGGUUUUCGGACCUAGCGGCGGACGGGUGAGUAAUGCGUAGGAAGCUACCCGAUAGAGGGGGAUACCAGUUGGAAACGACUGUUAAUACCGCAUAAUGUCUACGGACCAAAGUGUGGGACCUUCGGGCCACAUGCUAUCGGAUGCGCCUACGUGGGAUUAGCUAGUUGGUGAGGUAAUGGCUCACCAAGGCGACGAUCUCUAGCUGGUUUGAGAGGAUGAUCAGCCACACUGGAACUGAGACACGGUCCAGACUCCUACGGGAGGCAGCAGUGGGGAAUAUUGGACAAUGGGCGCAAGCCUGAUCCAGCCAUGCCGCGUGUGUGAAGAAGGCCUUCGGGUUGUAAAGCACUUUCAGCGAGGAGGAAGGGGUGAGUGUUAAUAGUACUCACCUUUGACGUUACUCGCAGAAGAAGCACCGGCUAACUCUGUGCCAGCAGCCGCGGUAAUACAGAGGGUGCAAGCGUUAAUCGGAAUUACUGGGCGUAAAGCGCACGCAGGCGGUUGGUUAAGUCAGAUGUGAAAGCCCCGGGCUCAACCUGGGAAUUGCAUUUGAAACUGGCCAACUAGAGUAUGUGAGAGGGGGGUAGAAUUCCAAGUGUAGCGGUGAAAUGCGUAGAGAUUUGGAGGAAUACCAGUGGCGAAGGCGGCCCCCUGGCACAAUACUGACGCUCAGGUGCGAAAGCGUGGGGAGCAAACAGGAUUAGAUACCCUGGUAGUCCACGCCGUAAACGAUGUCUACUAGCUGUUCGUGGUCUUGUACUGUGAGUAGCGCAGCUAACGCACUAAGUAGACCGCCUGGGGAGUACGGUCGCAAGAUUAAAACUCAAAUGAAUUGACGGGGGCCCGCACAAGCGGUGGAGCAUGUGGUUUAAUUCGACGCAACGCGAAGAACCUUACCUACUCUUGACAUCUAGCGAAGAUUGUAGAGAUACGAUUGUGCCU